rnacentral:rRNA from 1 species
UACGAAGGGGGCUAGCGUUGCUCGGAAUUACUGGGCGUAAAGGGCGCGUCGGCGGAUGUUUAAGUCAGAGGUGAAAGCCCAGGGCUCAACCUUGGAACUGCCUUUGAUACUGGACAUCUUGAGUAUGGGAGAGGUGAGUGGAACUCCGAGUGUAGAGGUGAAAUUCGUAGAUAUUCGGAAGAACACCAGUGGCGAAGGCGACUCACUGGCCCAUUACUGACGCUGAGGCGCGAAAGCGUGGGGAGCAAACAGG